rfam:Beta vulgaris subsp. vulgaris Bvchr4_un.sca029.con0004.1, whole genome shotgun sequence.
GAGUGCUAUCAUACUAGCACUAAUGCACCAGAUCCCAUCAUAACUCCGCUGUGAAGCGUGCUUAGGCAAGAGUAGUACUAGGAUGGGUGACCUCAUGGGAAGACCCCGUGUUGCACGCC